rnacentral:Y_RNA from 1 species
GAUUGGUCUGAAGGUAGUGAGUUAUCUCUGUGCACUGUUACAGGAUCAACUCCCUGUUCUACUUCUCCCCUGCUCACGGUGCACCUGACUAGUCUAGA